AAAUAUUAUAAGAGACCAAUGGGGGAAUCGCCUCAUUACUUACUUGCUGCCCAAGCCACGAAGAGAAAUGCCUACCUACUCCAAUCCAAAUUAUUAUGAGAGACAAAAGAUUGAGAGGAGUAAGGGAGUGCAGGGUGGUAAUUCGAGAGUGGAAAAGGAGAGGUUGUGUGGAGCAAAGUGAGAGGAUUACCAUCAAACCAUGCUAACAU
rnacentral:lncRNA from 1 species